ensembl:lncRNA
UAUAAGAAUCAGUCCAUUUACCAUUGCAUAUGACAUGGGAUACCCAUCAAUUCUUUUGUUUUAUUGCAAUAGAAUUGUAUAUGGGUUAUUUGAUUGAGUUUAAGCAACUUUCUGAAAGGUUACAUGAUUGUUUUUAGAAGAUGAAAUGUUGAAGAUUAUAGCAGCUGAAAAUGUAUUUGAUGUUUUUAUAUAGAAAACUGGUUCUUGUAGAGAACCUGCUCCAGUAGUCCAAUUCAUUAGAAUUGUUAGUCUGCCUGCCCAUCGAUCUCACUUACCGGUUCCAGUUGCACUUGCACUACACUCAGCUGAUUUCAGUUUGUGUGUCAGACAAGGAAAAUAGCAGCACAAUCUACAGCAUGGAUGUGGACAUUUAUUUUUAUUGCACAAAAGGACGAGAGUGUGAUGGUAAACUUUAAACUAUAUCAAGACAAAAACAACCACAGUAUGCUGCUAACACAACUUCAGCCUGCACAAAAAGACCUGCACGGACAGCAUGCUAAUGCUAAGCUAGCCAAGAACCAAGAGUAAAAACUGAGUGAAUGCCGGCCCAGCACCAAGACCCUUAACAUCAACAGUAACAUACAAAUGAGCAGUCAGGUUGCAGUCUCCAUUUCUACCUGUUCAUGUUUGAAUCACUCUGGUCAUUACUUUAAAGUCUCUUCCUGCCGGUUUUCAUCUUUGCUUUGUAUUCAUACCUAAAUACUAAGAGAAAGAUCAUAUGUUUGUCCUCAUUAGAACAUGUAUUUGUGUUGCUGUGUUGAGUUGUAGUAGCAGGUUUAUCUUGUUAAAUGGUAAUUAUGAGAGAGUGUGUUUCAGCUAUUUUACAGAGAAAGUAAUGUAAUGAGUGGUACAAUGAAUUACUCUCUCCUGGGAGUAAUUAAGUAACAUACAGCAUUUUUUUUUAAAGUGUGAAAAAUGUUCUGUGUAAUAUGUGUAAUAAUUACUUUUUGUAAAACUGAGCUGGGAAAGGCUCCAGCGAGAAUAAGCGGAAGAGAGUGGAUGGAUCCCAAAACUGAUCACAAAAAGAGCAGAAAUAUCUCCAACAUGCACAAACAUUUGCAACAUGCACACACUGUGUGGUCAAUAGAGCACAUGUAAGAUGUGAUAUAUUUUUAUAUGCUAGCGAUGGUGGUGACUCUCAAAGCAGAGCCGAUGAAAACAUAUUGAUAAGUUUUGAACUUAUUGAACUGAUAAGGAAUUGAAUCGAUAAGUGUUAUCGAUAAUGAAACAGGGAUCACUAAAUUCUCAGCAUUCCUAUCCCUAGUAAUCCUAGCAAAUGCAGUCAGUGUUGUAUCAGUACACAAGUAAACCAAAGUGCCAUUUAAAAAACAUUUUGUUUUUCUGUUUGCUUUUUUGUUUGUUAUUUUUUGUACAUAACACAUGACGUUUUGAGAUUCUCAUUCUAACAGUGUUUUGAAUACUAUGAUUUUCAGUAAUUUACCACUAAUUAUAGGAUAUUUUCUUUAUGGUGAUUAAAUACAGCAUGUAGGAAAAGGUGAUUGCAUUGCAUUUAAUUUCAAAUUGUAAUGAUUCAUUUGUGAUUAUUCUACUUCAUAAAUACCAUCAGUUAUACAUAUGCAUGCAUAGCAGUCGCUUUCAUUACUCUGUGGCCCCUGUUGUUAUUUACAACUUUUCUGAGCUAGAUACAUGGCUAUUCUAGCUGUUAUACACAGUUUUAUUUUAAAAAGUAACUUGUUACCCACCCUGCUGCUUCAGGGUCCAUGUUCAAUGGGAUGUUUUCGCUUGCUUUUAGCAUGUGAUGUUUAGAUAUCUCAGCGAUAAAAUAUGAUUGAUUUUGAAUGUGUAACAGCUUUCUUAAACCCAACACUUUUUUGCAUCACUUUAUUGCAUUUGUACAGAUUAUCAUUGUAAGAAAAUGUAAAUAGAGGAAAUUAUUAUUCCAACACUACAGGUUUGAUUGAAAACCCUGACUUUGAUUUGAAAGUCUGGGUCAGCUCAGCUGGUUCCUCAAUAACCUUGAUGGAAAAAGGAUGUAUAUGCCAAAACAAGUGUGAUUUCUUACUGGCCUCUCUGCUAUUUCAUGCUGUGGGGAAAUAAAUGGAACCCAUUAAAGGGAGUCAUACCAUUGGCCCAUCACAUGACAC